CCUACGGGAGGCAGCAGUGGGGAAUAUUGCACAAUGGGGGAAACCCUGAUGCAGCGACGCCGCGUGAGUGAAGAAGUAUUUCGGGAUGUAAAGCUCUAUCAGCAGGGAAGAAAAAAGACGGUAGCUGACUAAGAAGGCCCGGCUAACUACGGGCCAGCAGCCGCGGUAAUACGGAGGGGGCAGGCGUUAUCCGGAUUUACUGGGUGUAAAGGGGGCGUAGACGGCGCGGCAGGGCUGGAGUGAAAGGCAGGGGCUUAACCCCUAAACUGCUUUGGAAACUGCCGUGCUAGAGUGCUGGAGGGGUAAGUGGAAUUCCUAGUGUAGCGGUGAAAUGCGUAGAUAUUAGGAGGAACACCAGUGGCGAAGGCGGCUUACUGGACAGUAACUGACGUUGAGGCUCGAAAGCGUGGGGAGCAAACAGGAUUAGAUACCCCUGUAGUC
rnacentral:rRNA from 1 species